UGAGGAAUAUUGGACAAUGGAUGGAAAUCUGAUCCAGCCAUGCCGCGUGCAGGAAGACGGCCCUAUGGGUUGUAAACUGCUUUUGUAUGGGAGCAAUAAGGUCUAUGCGUAGACUGAUGAGAGUACCAUACGAAUAAGCAUCGGCUAACUCCGUGCCAGCAGCCGCGGUAAUACGGGGGAUGCAAGCGUUAUCCGGAUUUAUUGGGUUUAAAGGGUGCGUAGGCGGUUUGAUAAGUCAGCGGUGAAAUAUUUCAGCUUAACUGAAAGGGUGCCGUUGAUACUGUCAGGCUUGAAUAUGGUUGCUGUGAGUGGAAUUUGUAGUGUAGCGGUGAAAUGCUUAGAUAUUACACAGAAUAUCGAUUGCGAAGGCAACUCACAAAGCCAUUAUUGACGCUGAGGCACGAAAGUGUGGGGAUCAAACA
rnacentral:rRNA from 1 species